rnacentral:rRNA from 1 species
CGCUAGCUACAGGCUUANCACAUGCAAGUCGAGGGGCAGNGUGUACAGAUGCUUGCAUCAGUAUGACGCGACCGGCGCACGGGUGAGUAACGCGUAUCCAACCUGCCAUAUACUCGGGUAUAGCCCGGUGAAAACCGAAUUAACCCCCGAUAGUGUCCUUUGCAGGCAUCUAAUUAGGACUAAAGUUUACGGUAUAUGAUGGGGAUGCGUCUGAUUAGCUUGUUGGCGGGGUAACGGCCCACCAAGGCUACGAUCAGUAGGGGUUCUGAGAGGAAGGUCCCCCACAUUGGUACUGAGACACGGACCAAACUCUACGGGAGGCAGCAGUGAGGAAUAUUGGUCAAUGGGCGGAAGCCUGAACCAGCCAAGUAGCGUGCAGGAUGACGGCCCUAUGGGUUGUAAACUGCUUUUGUCAGGGAACAAAGUGAGGGACGUGUCCCUUUUUGCGUGUACCUGUCGAAUAAGGACCGGCUAAUUCCGUGCCAGCAGCCGCGGUAAUACGGAAGGUCCGGGCGUUAUCCGGAUUUAUUGGGUUUAAAGGGAGCGUAGGCCGAAGGCUAAGCGUGUUGUGAAAUGUAGUCGCUCAACGGGUGCACUGCAGCGCGAACUGGCUUUCUUGAGUGCGCGGAAANUUGGCGGAAUUCGUUGUGUAGCGGUGAAAUGCUUAGAUAUGACGAAGAACUCCGAUUGCGAAGGCAGCUGACUGUAGCGUAACUGACGCUGAAGCUCGAAAGCGUGGGUAUCGAACAGGAUUAGAUACCCUGGUAGUCCACGCGGUAAACGAUGGAUGCUCGCUGUUUGCCUUUAGAGGUAAGUGGCCAAGCGAAAGCGUUAAGCAUCCCACCUGGGGAGUACGCCGGCAACGGURAAACUCAAAGGAAUUGACGGGGGCCCGCACAAGCGGAGGAACAUGUGGUUUAAUUCGAUGAUACGCGAGGAACCUUACCCGGGCUUGAACUGCCAGCGGACGAUUCAGAGAUGAUGAGCGCYUCGGGGCGCUGGUGGAGGUGCUGCAUGGUUGUCGUCAGCUCGUGCCG